UCGGAUUGAAGGCUGAAAUUCGCCUUCAUGAAGCCGGAAUUGCUAGUAAUGGCAGGUCAGCAUACUGCCGUGAAUACGUUCCCGGGCCUUGUACACACCGCCCGUCACACCAUGGGAGCCGGUAAUACCCGAAGUCAGUAGUCCAACCUCGUGAGGACGCUGCCGAAGGUAGGAUUGGCGACUGGGGUGAAGUCGUAACAAGGUAGC
rnacentral:rRNA from 1 species